rnacentral:rRNA from 1 species
UACGUAGGGUGCGAGCGUUGUCCGGUAUUAUUGGGCGUAAAGAGCUUGUAGGCGGUUUGUCGCGUCUGCUGUGAAAAUCCGGGGCUCAACCCCGGACUUGCAGUGGGUACGGGCAGACUAGAGUGUGGUAGGGGAGACUGGAAUUCCUGGUGUAGCGGUGAAAUGCGCAGAUAUCAGGAGGAACACCGAUGGCGAAGGCAGGUCUCUGGGCCACUACUGACGCUGAGAAGCGAAAGCAUGGGGAGCGAACAGG